AUGGAUGCUGAAUAUCUUGCUCUCAUGAAAAAUAAGACAUGGCAUCUUGUUCCGUUUCAAAGAGGACUUAACAUUAUUGACUGUAAGUGGGUAUAUAAAGUUAAGCACAAAUCUGAUGAUACUAUUGACAGGUACAAAGCCCGCUUAGUUGCUAAAGGCUUCAAGCAAUGUUAUGGCAUUGACUACGAGGACACCUUUAGUCCUGUAGUGAAGGCAGCGACGAUCAGGUUAAUUCUGUCUGUUGCUGUGUCAAAAGGGUGGUGUAUGCGACAAUUGAAUGUGCAGAAUGCGUUUCUUCAUGGUGUUCUGGAAGAGGAGGUCUAUAUGAGGCAAUCACCAGGGUAUGGGGAUCCCAAGAAACCUGGUCUUUUGUGUAAGUUAGACAAAGCACUAUAUGGGUUGAAACAGGCACCACGUGCAUGGUACUCUCAUCUAUCCACCAAACUACAAUCACUUGGUUUUACUCCUUCAAAGGCAGAUACCUCUCUAUUCUUCUAUAGCAGAAAUGGAAUAACCAUAUUUAUGCUUAUUUAUGUUGAUGGUAUUAUUGUCACAAGCUCAUGCUCAGAGGCAGUCGAAGCACUACUCCGUGAUCUGCGUGGAGAUUUCUCACUGAAGGAUCUGGGAGACUUGCAUUACUUCUUGGGAAUAGAGGUAACAUCAGUACACAAUGGAAUUAUUUUGUCUCAAGGAAAAUAUAUUGUAGACAUAAUAAAGAGAGCUGGCAUGAAGGAUUUUAAGCUACUCGGGGGAGAAGAUUCUACCAGAUACAGGAGCAUAGUUGGUGCGCUGCAAUAUUUAACACUAACUAGACCUGAUAUAUCAUUCUCAGUAAAUAAGGUGUGUCAGUUUUUGCAUGCUCCCACUAUGGUUUAUUGGUCAGCAGUGAAGAGAAUUAUUCGGUAUCUCAGAUAUACAUCUUCUGUUGGGCUAAAACUUGUGAAGUCAGAUUCAUCUCUUGUUAGUGCUUUUUCUGAUGCUGAUUGGGCAGGCUGUCCUGACGACAGAAGGUCCACCGGAGGUUUUGCUAUAUUUUUUGGAUGCAAUCUUGUUUCAUGGACUGCACGGAAGCAACCCACAGUAUCUAGAUCUAGCACAGAAGCAGAACAUAAGUCCCUUGCAAAUGCAACAACAGAGGUAAUUUGGGUACAAUCAUUGCUAAAGGAACUUGGUAUUUGCCAAUCACGAGCAGUAACAUUGUGGUGUGAUAAUCUUGGUGCCACUUAUCUGUCAGCAAAUCCUGUUUUUCAUGCUAGAACUAAACAUAUUGAAGUGGACUAUCACUUUGUCAGAGAAAGAGUAGCAAAUAAGUUACUAAACAUUCGGUUUAUACCGACAGGAGAUCAAGUUGCAGAUGGGUUUACGAAACCUUUGACAGUGAGGCAGCAAGAAGCUUUUCGGCGCAAUCUCAACUUAGAUAAGUUGUGA
rnacentral:rRNA from 1 species